rnacentral:misc_RNA from 1 species
GAUGAAGAACGCAGCGAAAUGCGAUAAGUAAUGUGAAUUGCAGAAUUCAGUGAAUCAUCGAAUCUUUGAACGCACAUUGCGCCCACCAGCAUUCUGGCGGGCAUGCCUGUUCGAGCGUCAUUUCAACCCUCAAGCUCUGCUUGGUGUUGGGGCCCUACGGUUGACGUAGGCCCUUAAAGGUAGUGGCGGACCCUCUCGGAGCCUCCUUUGCGUAGUAACUAACGUCUCACAUUGGGAUUCGGAGGGACUCUUGCCGUAAAACCCCCAAAUUUUCUAAUGGUUGACCUCGGAUCAGGUAGGAAUACCCGCUGAACUUAAGCAUAUCAAUAAGCGGAGGA